rnacentral:rRNA from 1 species
UACGUAGGGUGCGAGCGUUAAUCGGAAUUACUGGGCGUAAAGCGUGCGCAGGCGGUUUUGUAAGUCAGAUGUGAAAUCCCCGGGCUUAACCUGGGAACUGCGUUUGAAACUACAAGGCUAGAGUGUGGCAGAGGGGGGUGGAAUUCCACGUGUAGCAGUGAAAUGCGUAGAGAUGUGGAGGAACACCGAUGGCGAAGGCAGCCCCCUGGGCUAACACUGACGCUGAGGCGCGAAAGCGUGGGGAGCAAACAGG